GGAUAGCUCAGUCGGUAGAGCAUGAGGCUCUUAAUCUCAGGGUUGUGGGUUCGAGCCUCAUGUUGGACA
rnacentral:tRNA from 1 species